rnacentral:lncRNA from 12 species
CAUGGCAGUUUUAAAGAAUUAGAUGGUCACCAAGACUAUUUAGAGGAAAUGAGAAAUACCAGAAUUAUGCCAGGUACAGGAAGAUCUCUCAAAGGAGAAAGCUGGAGGAGCUUUCCUUGAUCAUAAUUCUAACCUCCACUUCAGGCAAAGGAAGGAUAAUGAAUUCAGCAAAUGCUUGAUGAGGAAAUGAAGACUUAGGUAUAUGAGCACAUAACUUUAACUCUCUUUUCCUGGAACUGGCAGAAGCCACUGGAAAUUAUCUGUAAGUGCUCCUG